rnacentral:rRNA from 1 species
KAASCGGAUAGAGUUGAUGAAGCUGGUGGCAUUCAUCGGUGCCUGCGUGCUUCGCUUUUGCGUUGCGCCUGGCUUCGUGCAUUUGCCUGCGGCAUACGCUGAGGCGGUUGGUUGCCCCUUCUGAAAUGUGCGGCGUUGCCCACCUUCGGGUGGUGUCUUGUCGUGCGUGGAGGUUGUUUGUGGUGGCUAGCUGUGCGAAAGCGCGGAUCCGGCCUUUGCGCGAUUGUCUGCUAGCGUGCGUUCGGUUUCGGCGGUGGCUUGCCACCUGUCGUUGCUGUGGCGUUCGUGUGGUGGGCGGUUGCUCAUUGGAUUCGUUCUCGGUGUGAAAAGUCGACCACCUAUCCGACCCGUCUUGAAACACGGACCAAGAAGUGUAGCAUUUGCGCGAGUCAUUGGGUGUUAAACCUAUUGGCGUAAUGAAAGUAAAGCUGGCCUUGCGUCAGUGAUAUGUGAUCCGUGCGCCCUUGGGCGUGCGGCGCAACAUAGCCCCAUGCCGGCUGCUUGCAGCGGUGUGGAGGUAGAGCGUAAAUGCUGCGACCCGAAAGAUGGUGAACUAUGCCCGAGCAGGAUGAAGCCAGAGGAAACUCUGGUGGAAGU